GAUGAACGCUGGCGGCGUGCCUAAUACAUGCAAGUCGAGCGAACGGACGAGAAGCUUGCUUCUCUGAUGUUAGCGGCGGACGGGUGAGUAACACGUGGAUAACCUACCUAUAAGACUGGGAUAACUUCGGGAAACCGUAGCUAAUACCGGAUAAUAUUUUGAACCGCAUGGUUCAAUAGUGAAAGACGGUCUUGCUGUCACUUAUAGAUUGAUCCGCGCUGCAUUAGCUAGUUGGUAAGGUAACGGCUUACCAAGGCAACGAUGCCUAGCCGACCUGAGAGGGUGAUCGGCCAAACUGGAACUGAGACACGGUCCAGACUCCUACGGGAGGCAGCAGUAGGGAAUCUUCCGCAAUGGGCGAAAGCCUGACGGAGCAACGCCGCGUGAGUGAUGAAGGUCUUCGGAUCGUAAAACUCUGUUAUUAGGGAAGAACAAAUGUGUAAGUAACUGUGCACAUCUUGACGGUACCUAAUCAGAAAGCCACGGCUAACUACGUG
rnacentral:rRNA from 1 species